GACGAACGCUGGCGGCGUGCUUAACACAUGCAAGUCGAACGGAAAGGCCCUGCUUUUGUUGGGUGCUCGAGUGGCGAACGGGUGAGAAACACGUGAGUAACCUGCCCUUGACUUUGGGAUAACUUCAGGAAACUGGGGCUAAUACCGGAUAGGAGCUCCUGCUGCAUGGUGGGGGUUGGAAAGUUUCGGCGGUUGGGGAUGGACUCGCGGCUUAUCAGCUUGUUGGUGGGGUAGUGGCUUACCAAGGCUUUGACGGGUAGCCGGCCUGAGAGGGUGACCGGCCACAUUGGGACUGAGGUACGGCCCAGACUCCUACGGGAGGCAGCAGGGGGGAAUAUUGCACAAUGGGCGGAAGCCUGAUGCAGCAACGCCGGGUGCGGGAUGACGGCCUACGGGUGGUAAACCGCUGUCGCCGGAGACGAAGCGUGAGUGACGGUAAUGGGUAAAGAAGCACCGGCUAACUACGUG
rnacentral:rRNA from 1 species